CCUACGGGUGGCAGCAGUGGGGAAUAUUGGGCAAUGGGCGCAAGCCUGACCCAGCAACGCCGCGUGAAGGAAGAAGGCUUUCGGGUUGUAAACUUCUUUUGUCAGGGAAGAGUAGAAGACGGUACCUGACGAAUAAGCCACGGCUAACUACGUGCCAGCAGCCGCGGUAAUACGUAGGUGGCAAGCGUAGUCCGGAUUUACUGGGUGUAAAGGGCGUGUAGCCGGGUUGACAAGUCAGAUGUGAAAUCCUGCGGCUUAACCGCAGAACUGCAUUUGAAACUGUUGGUCUUGAGUACUGGCGGGGCAGACGGAAUUCCUAGUGUAGCGGUGAAAUGCGUAGAUAUUAGGAGGAACACCAGUGGCGAAGGCGGUCUGCUGGACAGCAACUGACGGUGAGGCGCGAAAGCGUGGGGAGCAAACAGGAUUAGAUACCCCUGUAGUC
rnacentral:rRNA from 1 species